rnacentral:rRNA from 1 species
AUGGCGCCCAAGCGGCCACUCGGCGCCGCCCUGACGGAGGAGGAGGCUGCGCUGUGGUGGUCCCCGAUGAAGCGGUCCCGGAUGAAGCGGUCCCCGAGGUUUCGGCUAAAGCGGACGGUGCUCGUCGUGAUGUGGCUCAUGUCCAGGCCCAGCGGGACGGCUAGGAAAAGAAGAGAAAUAAAACGGCCGUGGCGCUGGCUUGCUCAGGUGGUUUGUCCGUGGUGGAGCAUGCUCGACGCAAGUUCGGAGCCAACGUUUGUGCCACUCGAUUAUUUACGAGAAAUUACAGAUGAUUUCUCCGAGGAGCGGAAGCUUGGUAGCGGUUCGUUUGGAGAGGUUUACUUGGACAGGGACCUAAAGUGGGAGCCCGGCGUGGCCACCGCCCCGGCCGCCUCUGACUCCGUCUACCGCUGGAGACUGGCGGCGCUGCACCUCUACCCCCUCUUCCCUUUCCCUUUGUCCUUGCCCAAGGAAGAGCACGGCACAAGCACGCCAAGCUCGAGCGAGCUGCAGGCCUGCGGCAACACUUGUCUUGCGGAGCCGGCGGCCGGCGCGCCAUCCUUGCGGAAGACGUCGCGGCCUACUGAGGGCGGCGAGCGGAUCUUGAGGCGUGGCAAGCAACCUCGCAUCACGCCAUUAUACGUCGACCGCCGGCACCAAAUUAGCUCGAUUCAGAGCGCCCCGGGCCUCCUCCUCGACACCCCGGCUCCACACGACCGCCACGAAGAGCCUGGACUCCACGGCACCGACCGCCGCGACCUCAAGCUCGUCGUCCCCGUGAGCCGCAUUCCGGUGGCUGUGGUAGCAGCCCGCGUCGCGUCGAGCUGGACGCGGCGCGUCGGGCUGGAGCUACGGGGGGCCAUCCAUGGCGGCUUGGCGUCGGGCUCCGGCGAGGUAGGGUGCUGGGGCGUCGCGCUUAACAGGAAGGCGGCGGCUCAGGGACUCCGGCAUCGAGGGACGAAGGGGAAGGACAGAUCCAAGGCUCUCCAGCGCGGAUUGGCCGGGAAACAAGGCGGCGCGUCGGGCUGGACCUACGGGAUGCCAUCAAUGGCAGCUUGCCGUCGGGCUCCUAUCCAAAGGGGAAGAGAGAGAGCUCCGGGCGAGGAGGAGGCCGGGGCGGGGCAGGGCGGGGCAGUGGUUACGGGAGGCGAAGGAGCUCGGGCUCGACGGGAGCCCCUUGAUCCAGAUCAGGCGCCACCGCGCGUGGGGUUUUCUGCAAAAAAAUGCCACAUAUGCACCCGACAGGGAGUGGAUCAAGAUGGGCAAAAGAUUGCUGUGAAGAGAAUCUAUGAGAUGGCAGGUGUUGAUGAUGGGCAAUUUCAGAAUGAGUUUACAAACCUUGCAAGGCUCAAGCACCGGAAUAUUGUGCGGUUAGUUGGUUAUUGCAACCAUAUUCAGGAAGUACCAGCAAUGUACGAAGGAAAAUUUGUUCUUGCUGAAAAGAUACAUAGGGCGCUCUGCUUAGAGUAUAUGUCUAAUGGAAGCCUUGAAAAGUAUAUUUCUGGCUACGGAAUAAUUAAGGGGAUUUGCCAGGGUUUGAAAUGCCUCCACAUGGAAGUAAAGCCACCUAUUUAUCAUUUGGAUUUAAAGCCAGCCAAUGUAUUGCUGGAUGAGAACAUGGUUCCCAGACUUGCAGAUUUUGGGAUAUCAAGGCUCUUUGGAGAUGAACGAACGCGAGCUACAAAAAGUAUUUUAGGAACGCAAGGGUACUUACCGCCGGAAUACAUACACAACAAUUUGAUCUCAAGUAAGUUUGACAUAUUCAGCCUUGGUGUUGUAAUCAUAAAGAUAAUGUCAGGACGGGCGGGCUACUCAAAAAUUACUGACAUGUCUCCCCAGGAAUUCACUAAUCUUGUACAGGAAAAAUGGACAAAAAGGCUACAUGAAACAUCGAGUCUGAUGAAGGCAUAUUCCAAGCAAGUGAAGACGUGUAUUCAAAUAGGUUUAAUGUGUGUGAACGAUGAUCGACAUAAAAGGCCAUCUAUACAGGAUAUUGUCAAUAGACUGAAUGAGACAGAAACUGAGUGUACCUAUGCGGCAAGAAAGGACGGGUCGUUGAUUUACCAGAUUUUGGACUGGCUAAGGGGCUGUUUAGAUUUCGCCUGGAUUCGAGAGGAUGACUCAAUCACAUCCAUGGGUGCAAGUCUAACUGGCCAACAGAAUGGACACUUCAGCUUCUCGAUAACUGAUGCACCUGGUACUUAUCCUGUAUCAGUAAAAUCACUUCUCCAUGAUGCAUUGUUGGGUGCUGAAGAUGUUGCUGGGACUACCCCAGGUGGAGUUAGUCUGGGAAUCUCUUCACCUAACCAUGUUCCGGUUGACAUGUCCAGUGAGCCUCCUUCAGAUGAAUUUGAUGCGACAGACCAGGGCAUUGCACCAGCUAACAACGGAGAAGUGCCAAAUUCCAACAAUCAACCUCAUGAUUAUGAACAUGAUGGUGGCAACCAGUGA